rnacentral:rRNA from 1 species
UACGUAGGGUGCAAGCGUUAAUCGGAAUUACUGGGCGUAAAGGGCGCGUAGGCGGCCUGCUAAGUCGAACGUGAAAUCCCUGGGCUCAACCCAGGAACUGCGUCCGAUACUGGUUGGCUUGAAUCCGGGAGAGGAUGUGGAAUUCCAGGUGUAGCGGUGAAAUGCGUAGAUAUCUGGAGGAACACCGGUGGCGAAGGCGACAUCCUGGACCGGUAUUGACGCUGAGGCGCGAAAGCCAGGGGAGCAAACGGG